UACGUAGGGGGCGAGCGUUGUCCGGAUUUAUUGGGCGUAAAGAGCGUGUAGGCGGCCCGGUAAGUCCGCUGUGAAAGUCCAGGGCUCAACCCUGGGAUGCCGGUGGAUACUGUCGGGCUCGAGUCCGGAAGAGGAGUGUGGAAUUCCUGGUGUAGCGGUGAAGUGCGCAGAUAUCAGGAGGAACACCUAUUGCGAAGGCAGCUCGCUGGGACGUAACUGACGCUGAGACGCGAAAGCGUGGGGAGCAAACAGG
rnacentral:rRNA from 1 species